GAUGAACGCUGGCGGCGUGGAUAAGGCAUGCAAGUCGAGGGCCAUCUUCGGAUGGACCGGCAGACGGGGUAGUAACAGGUAGGAAUGUACCCAGAAGUCAGGAAUAACUCAUCGAAAGAUGUGCUAAUACCUGAUAGUCUCUUCGGAGUAAAGAUUUAUCGCUUCUGGAACAGCCUGCUUCGUAUCAGCUUGUUGGUGAGGUAAUGGCUCACCAAGGCUAUGACGCGUAGGGGAGCUGAGAGGCUGACCCCCACCAUUGGCACUGAGACACUGGCCAAACACCUACGGGUGGCUGCAGUCGAGAAUCUUCCGCAAUGCACGAAAGUGUGACGGAGCGACGCCGCGUGGUUGAUGACGUCCUUAGGGAUGUAAAAACCUUUUCUCAAGGAGGAAGUUUUAUUGACGUUACUUGAGGAAUAAGAGGUUGCUAAACUCG
rnacentral:rRNA from 1 species